rnacentral:rRNA from 1 species
UACGGAGGAUCCAAGCGUUAUCCGGAAUCAUUGGGUUUAAAGGGUCCGUAGGCGGUUUAUUAAGUCAGUGGUGAAAGCCCAUCGCUCAACGGUGGAACGGCCAUUGAUACUGUUAAACUUGAAUUAUUAGGAAGUAACUAGAAUAUGUAGUGUAGCGGUGAAAUGCUUAGAGAUUACAUGGAAUACCAAUUGCGAAGGCAGGUUACUACUAAUGGAUUGACGCUGAUGGACGAAAGCGUGGGUAGCGAACAGG